CCCGCCUCUGGCCGAGCUCCGGUACAAACUCUGCCGCCGAGGGCUCGGCUUUCACAUUCCCGCCUCCGCCCUCCGUCUCCCUCCCAACCCUAAAGCACUUCCUGCAAACUGCCGGCUGCGCGGCUGCUUUCCUUUCCGUUGCGGGUGCGGCACCUCCCUGUACCCCGGCUCUCUCUGCCUAGCCUGCUCCAUUUUACAGACGGGAAACUCAGGGUCGACCCCUUAGGGCCACUGGAGUUUUCCCCAAAAAUGAAGCACGAGAACUGCCAUCCCGGAAGGCUAAAUCUCGACUUUGCACGAUUUAAGCUAUUUCAUCACCAGCCUACUAGGACCCUGCGAUCCCUCUGUUCUCCAACAGCCCAGGGAAGCAGUUACCCCAAGUCAUGUGAGAAAGACUUCUAAGAGAGGGAGGAGAGUUAUUUGCUAAACAUUUUUGGUUUCCCUGUUUUGUUUUUGUGUGUGUGUGACAAGUCGUAGCCCAGGCUGGUUUCCAACUCUAGCUCAGGAUGACCUUGAGUUUCUGAUCAUCCCUUGUCCCCGUUGCUGACAAUUCGAAUCCAAGGCCUCGUGCUGGCUAUCAACUGCUUGCUACAGCUCCACUGUUGAGUCAACUUUAAACAUAUAUUUUCUUAGACUUUGUAGAUUUCUUAUAUUUUGUAAUUCUGGUAUUCUCUCCUCCACUCAAGACCAGAGAUUCCUUGAGAUUUGAAAAGACUCCAGAUGUGGCUCAGGCUGACCUUGAACUCAUGAUCCUACUGCAUCCUUCACUACAUCUGGCUCUAUUUUAUCUUCGGAGAUGAGUAAAGAGAACUUGGAUCUUCCCCCAGGCAAGCACUGGUUUGGAUCUCUGUGUGGACCACGAAAACAUAUGGGGCACUAAGCUCAUCUUUCCCUGUAUCAAAUGGUGACUGUUACACAGAUCUUCC
ensembl:lncRNA